AUCGCCCUGCUGCGGGUUCCAAGCCUCGACCCAAAGGCUCUCUACGCACUGGUCCUGCGACUUCCGGACGGGCCUGGGCUAGGACUUCCACCUCUCUACCUCGGAAGCCAUCGGUGCCUUGGCAGCGCCAACUGGACCAGCCCGGGGACCGAUACCAAACUCCGGGAACGCACCGACCAGUGGGCAAGGUGACAUGCGGUCCAGAUGAUCGCCAGGGUGUGGGGCGGGCUGCGGCUAAGGAGCCAGAUUAAGGAAGGGCCUUAGGGCUCUUCUGACUCUAAGACUGUUUUCCCCGACCUACAAGUUUCCCCAACAGGGUACAAAUGUGAUAAAAUGAGGAAGGGACCUGAGGAUGGGUCGGAUUACAGCUACUGUCUUCCCACAGCUAGCAGAGAUACAAUGCGAGGUAGCUGCACUCCGCGAGGAACAGAAAGCCCUGUCCCAUCUGGUGGAGUCGCUGAGUACCCACAUCCAGGCCUUGACGGAGCAGCAAGAGCAGCUCCGCUGUCAGCUGCAGGAUCUGGACUCCAGACUGGGAGCUGGGUGAGCCCCGCCCUUCAGGGUAGCUUGGAUCCCAGCUUCUUCGUCAGGGUGGCUCAAGUAUCUUCCAGAAAGUCCCUCCCCUACUAAACCACCCCC
rnacentral:lncRNA from 1 species